rnacentral:lncRNA from 1 species
UAUUAACAACCAUGGCUAAGACUAAGCUUGUUGCUCUUUCCUUCAUAGUUUUGCUGAGUAUCGGCCUCUCCGAGGCAGGUCGAGCAUUGAUGUCUUCAGGUGGAGGUGGUGGUGGAGGAGGUGGCGGUGGAGGUGGUGGCUCUGGAAAUGGCUCCGGUUCCGGCUCUGGUUACGGUGAAGGAGGUGGAUCCGGGGCUCACGGUGGUGGGUACGGAAGAGGUGGAGGCGGAGGUGGUGGAGGCGGUGAAGGGGGAGGUAGUGGGUCUGGUUAUGGGUCGGGGAGCGGCUAUGGCUCAGGCUCCGGGCAUGGGGUCGGUGGUGCCCAUGGUGGAGGGUAUGGAAGUGGCGGAGGAGGCGGAGGUGGUGAAGGCGGAGGUAGCGGCUCUGGCCAUGGGUCAGGAAGUNNN